rnacentral:rRNA from 1 species
CAGUAGCCGCGGGAAUACGAAGGUCCCGAGCGUUGUUCGGAAUCACUGGGCGUAAAGUGAGCGUAGGCGGCGUGGUAAGUCAGAUGUGAAAUCCCGGGGCUCAACCCCGGAACUGCAUCCGAUACUGCCAUGCUAGAGGAUUGGAGAGGUAGCUGGAAUUCUUGGUGUAGCAGUGAAAUGCGUGGAGAUCAAGAGGAACACCCGUGGCGAAAGCGAGCUACUGGACAAUAACUGACGCUGAGGCUCGAAGGCCAGGGUAGCGAAAGGGAUUAGAUACCCCAGUAGUCCCUGUCUCUUAUAA